rnacentral:rRNA from 1 species
CUUGCAACCAAUAAGAGGUCCAGCCUGCCCAGUGACUCUGUUCAACGGCCGCGGUAUCCUAACCGUGCAAAGGUAGCGCAAUCACUUGUCCUUUAAAUAAGGACUAGUAUGAACGGCACCACGAAAGCUAUACUGUCUCCUUCCCCUAAUCAGUGAAACUAAACCCCCCGUGAAGAAGCGGGGAUAAUUUUAUAAGACGAGAAGACCCUAUGGAGCUUUAAACACACAACAAUUGUAACGGACUCCCUCCUUCUUCCCCGGAAGAAACUGCCUACCCGAACAUUUUGAUUGCAAGUUUUUAGGUUGGGGUGACCGCGGAGCAAAAAUUAACCUCCAUAGUGAACGGGAUUCUUUCCCCUAAACCCAGGGCCACAACCCUAAGGAUCAAUAAAUUGACACCCAUUGACCCAAUACUUUUGACCAACGAAC